rnacentral:rRNA from 1 species
AUGAUUCAGACCUUGGUGAGUGGCGGACGGGUGAGUAACACGUGGGUAACCUGCCCAAAAUGGGGGAUAACAUCUGGAAACAGGUGCUAAUACCGCAUAACAACUACUUUCACAUGAUCGUAGCUUGAAAGAUGGCUUCGGCUAUCACUUUUGGAUGGUCCCGCGGCGUAUUAGCUAGAUGGUGAGGUAACGGCUCACCAAGGCAAUGAUACGUAGCCGACCUGAGAGGGUAAUCGGCCACAUUGGGACUGAGACACGGCCCAAACUCC